GGAUCAGUCCCAGCCAUUACUCACAUAUGUAGAAAUUAAGAGCUCUGUGCAAAGUGCUUGAUAGAACUCUGCAAAGUGCUUUUCUUGAUGAACUCAAUUAUAGGCACCAGAGGUUGAAAUGUUAAGUCUAAAAACCAUAGAGUGACACCUGCUGGAUAAAGCCAGAAAUACAUUGCCUUGAGUCCAAAGUAGACAUAAUAUACCCUAGGUCAUGCAACACUGUCCAUCAUACAUUGCAUCUUACAUUGCUGACCCGCACUCCCUCAGAUGAGGUUUAUCCAGGGAUAGUUACCAUGAUGAAUAGCACCAUCCACUAAGUGGAAUGAAGAAAGAAAAAAAAAUGAAAAUUGAAAACAAAUUUCAGAAUCAAUACUCUCUGAGGCAACAAAAUAGCAAGUGCUAGUAGACAUCCUAGAAGCCCUACCAUAAAAUGAGUUUCAUGACUAGCCAACACGAAACCUUGUAGAUACACAUAAUGUCAUGUUGCUUUUCUAGAUAGAAAAUGUAAAAUUUCAAUUAGAACUUAGUUUCUCAUCGAAUAUCAGGAUAAAAAAAUAAAAAAAGGUAAGCAAGGUUCUAGUGUAAUUCAUCUCUCUUUUAUGGCUUAAAUAUGAAUUUAGUCCCUGUAAGUUAGCAUUUUUUCAAUUUUGAUCCUUGUAAGUUUGCACUUUUCAAUUUUAGUCCCUUUAAAAUUCCAUUUUUUUUUUCAUUUUUAGUCCCUGUAAGUUCAUGCUUUAGGGACCAAAAUUGGAAAAAACUAAAACAUAAAUAGACUAAAAAUGAACAAAAAAACUUACAGUAACUGAAUUCAUAUUUAAUCCUUCUUUUAUUUGUAAAAUGUAAUUCAAUAUAAAUUGAGACUCUGGGAUUCUUCUGUGCAUAUCAUCCAAUUCAAUCUCAUUGUCUUUACUCUUUUGAUGACAGUAUUUUCAACAAUCAGGUGCAGUACAAGCAGAAGAAAUUAUCUAAACAAUCAUCACUUAUAACCAAUGUCAUUAAAACUAUCACCAAUUAUCAUUUCUGACUUCUACAAGAGUCACUGCAGCAAUCACCCUUCACUUUCACAGAUUUUGUUUGCAACAACUUUCUGAAAGGCAUCUAGCCAAAUAUGCAACCUCAUUCUGGUCCUAAAACCUACACAUUUGUGUGUUUCAGUUUCCCAAUCCACACCCUAAACAUUCACAACAACAACAACAACAAAAGAAGAAGAACUCCUACAAACGUAAUCAAUUUCCAUCAACAAACUGAAAACCCUCCAGAAUACCAAUUCCUAGCUUCCCAUCAUUGUAAAACAGGAAAUUCUUCUAUCAAUUAUCAAUAACAUAUUCCCAAGAACACAUUCAAUAAAACACAUCCUUACCAAUGGACACACCUUUUGAACUGAACCAUAACAUAGCUAUUAGUUGUCAUGUCACCCCCACAGUUUACAUGGAUUAGUACCUACUCUUCAAGCAAUCCAACUAACCAGAAACUUUCAUACCAAAAGAGGGUUUCUACUUUCACCAACUCCCAUCAAAUAUAUGCAACACGAAAAGAAAAAGAAAAAGAAAAAAAGCAAAUAAGCAAAAAGCACUAACUUCAACAAGAAGAUGGUAAAUGCUAC
rnacentral:lncRNA from 1 species